GUCAGAUCAUGCUAAUUGGAUUAUGUGCGCUGUGUGCCAAUGAGAGCCUGCAUAAUGCAAUGGUGUCUGUUCUCACAGCGGGGGGGACUCUGUUUCAACCACACACGCAGCGCAGAUGUGGAGGGUAGUGUACCCCCAGCCUCUGUUUGGUUCAGACAGCACCUGGACUCCAGCUUCCUGGCCUGCUCUAUUUACGACAACAUAACCGCGUGCCAGCUUCUCGCUAACCUGGUGCUGCUGGAUCCAGCGGGAGAGACCUCUAAAGCCUUCAAUCUUUACCGAAAAGCAGCGUUGCA